rnacentral:rRNA from 1 species
GACGAACGCUUGCGGCGUGCUUAACACAUGCAAGUCGAACGGAAAGGCCCUGCUUUUGUGGGGUGCUCGAGUGGCGAACGGGUGAGUAACACGUGAGUAACCUGCCCUUGACUUUGGGAUAACUUCAGGAAACUGGGGCUAAUACCGGAUAGGAGCUCCUGCUGCAUGGUGGGGGUUGGAAAGUUUCGGCGGUUGGGGAUGGACUCGCGGCUUAUCAGCUUGUUGGUGGGGUAGUGGCUUACCAAGGCUUUGACGGGUAGCCGGCCUGAGAGGGUGACCGGCCACAUUGGGACUGAGAUACGGCCCAGACUCCUACGGGAGGCAGCAGUGGGGAAUAUUGCACAAUGGGCGGAAGCCUGAUGCAGCAACGCCGCGUGCGGGAUGACGGCCUUCGGGUUGUAAACCGCUUUCGCCUGUGACGAGGCGUGAGUGACGGUAAUGGGUAAAGAAGCACCGGCUAACUACGUGCCAGCAGCCGCGGUGAUACGUAGGGUGCGAGCGUUGUCCGGAUUUAUUGGGCGUAAAGGGCUCGUAGGUGGUUGAUCGCGUCGGAAGUGUAAUCUUGGGGCUUAACCCUGAGCGUGCUUUCGAUACGGGUUGACUUGAGGAAGGUAGGGGAGAAUGGAAUUCCUGGUGGAGCGGUGGAAUGCGCAGAUAUCAGGAGGAACACCAGUGGCGAAGGCGGUUCUCUGGGCCUUUCCUGACGCUGAGGAGCGAAAGCGUGGGGAGCGAACAGGCUUAGAUACCCUGGUAGUCCACGCUGUAAACGGUGGGUACUAGGUGUGGGGUCCAUUCCACGGGUUCCGUGCCGUAGCUAACGCUUUAAGUACCCCGCCUGGGGAGUACGGCCGCAAGGCUAAAACUCAAAGGAAUUGACGGGGCCCCGCACAAGCGGCGGAGCAUGCGGAUUAAUUCGAUGCAACGCGUAGAACCUUACCUGGGUUUGACAUGGAUCGGGAGUGCUCAGAGAUGGGUGUGCCUCUUUUGGGGUCGGUUCACAGGUGGUGCAUGGCUGUCGUCAGCUCGUGUCGUGAGAUGUUGGGUUAAGUCCCGCAACGAGCGCAACCCUUGUUCACUGUUGCCAGCACGUUAUGGUGGGGACUCAGUGGAGACCGCCGGGGUCAACUCGGAGGAAGGUGGGGAUGACGUCAAGUCAUCAUGCCCCUUAUGUCCAGGGCUUCACGCAUGCUACAAUGGCUGGUACAGAGAGUGGCGAGCCUGUGAGGGUGAGCGAAUCUCGGAAAGCCGGUCUCAGUUCGGAUUGGGGUCUGCAACUCGACCUCAUGAAGUCGGAGUCGCUAGUAAUCGCAGAUCAGCAACGCUGCGGUGAAUACGUUCCCGGG